GCGCAAUGGGCGGAAGCCUGACGCAGCGACGCCGCGUGGGGGAUGACGGCCUUCGGGUUGUAAACCUCUUUCGCCAGGGACGAAGAGCAAUUGACGGUACCUGGAGAAGAAGCACCGGCCAACUACGUGCCAGCAGCCGCGGUAACACGUAGGGUGCGAGCGUUGUCCGGAAUUAUUGGGCGUAAAGAGCUCGUAGGCGGUGUGUCGCGUCGGCCGUGAAAACUUGGGGCUUAACUCUGAGCGUGCGGUCGAUACGGGCAUCACUUGAGUUCGGCAGGGGAGACUGGAAUUCCUGGUGUAGCGGUGAAAUGCGCAGAUAUCAGGAGGAACACCGGUGGCGAAGGCGGGUCUCUGGGCCGAUACUGACGCUGAGGAGCGAAAGCGUGGGGAGCGAACAGGAUUAGAUACCCUGGUAGUCCACGCCGUAAACGUUGGGCGCUAGGUGUGGGGACCAUUCCACGGUUUCUGUGCCGCAGCUAACGCAUUAAGCGCCCCGCCUGGGGAGUACGGCCGCAAGGCU
rnacentral:rRNA from 1 species